UACGGAGGGUGCGAGCGUUGUCCGGAAUCAUUGGGCGUAAAGGGCGCGUAGGCGGUCCUGCAAGUCGGGGGUGAAAGCCCGAGGCUCAACCUCGGAACUGCCUUCGAUACUGCGGGUCUCGAGUCCGGGAGAGGUGAGUGGAAUUCCUAGUGUAGAGGUGAAAUUCGUAGAUAUUAGGAAGAACACCAGUGGCGAAGGCGGCUCACUGGCCCGGUACUGACGCUGAGGCGCGAAAGCGUGGGGAGCAAACAGG
rnacentral:rRNA from 1 species